rnacentral:tRNA from 1 species
ACGGCGGUAGCAAAGCGGUAAUGCGUCAUCCCUUAAAAUGCGAACUGACAAGUUCGCUGACAGCAAUCUUAACAGUAAAAAGAUAUGCCAUGAUGAUAAUCGCUGGUUCGACUCCAGCCCGCCGUGCCA